rfam:Amborella trichopoda AMTR_V1.0_contig_41706, whole genome shotgun sequence.
GGAGAGAUGACCGAGUGGUUCAAUGCAUAGCAUUGGAACUGCUAUGUAGGCUUUGUUUACCGAGGGUUAGUAUCCCUCUUUUUCCA